GGGAAGGGGUGACUAGUGGCAGAGUGAGGGAAGGAAGGGGUGACUAGUGACAAAGUGAGGGAGGUGGUGACUGUCACUAGUCACCACCUCCCUCUGUCACUAGUCACCACCUCCCUCUGUCACUACUCCCUCCCUCACUCUGUCACCUGUCACCCCCUCCCUCACUCUGUCACCUGUCACCCCCUCACUCUGUCACUAGUCACCCCCUUACUCUGUCACCUGUCACCCCCUUACUC